AUUGAACGCUGGCGGCAUGCCUAACACAUGCAAGUCGAACGAGUGGCGGACGGGUGAGUAAUGUCUGGGAAACUGCCUGAUGGAGGGGGAUAACUACUGGAAACGGUAGCUAAUACCGCUUACCCUCAGAUGUGCCCCGAUGGGAUUGUCUUGUGGUGGGGGUAACGGCUCACCAAGGCGACGAUCCCUAGCUGGUCUGAGAGGAGGACCAGCCAGACGGGAACUGAGACACGGCCCAGACUCCUACGGGAGGCAGCAGUGGGGAAUAUUGCACAAUGGGCGCAAGCCGGAUGCAGCCAGGCGGCGUGUAUGAAGAAGGCCUUCGGGUGGUAAAGUACUUUCAGCGGGGAGGCGUUACCCGAAGAAGAAGCACCGGCUAACUCCGUGCCAGCAGCCGCGGUAAUUC
rnacentral:rRNA from 1 species